rnacentral:lncRNA from 10 species
CACCUGCGUACCGGGAGAGUGGGGUGGAGCCACCGGGAAUUCACGCCUGAUGCCCGGGGAGGAGUCUGGCCUCUUCAGCUCCUGUGUGGUGGCCUGAUAUUCAGUCUGUGAGCUGGGAGCCUGUUGGCAGGUCCCUCUUUUUAUUUUCGCUGAGAGCUUUCUUUUACUAAAUGCCACCAUCCUUACCUUUCAAGGUGUCUGCGUGCCUAAUUUUUCCUGGUUGUUAGACAAGAACCCGGAUUUUAGUUGAACUCUGGAGCAAAAAUCCUGCAUCAUUUGUAGGUGUCUGAGUAGAUUUGGAAAUGCC